rnacentral:rRNA from 1 species
UGCAAGUCGAGCGCGAAAACACUUCGGUGUGAGUAAAGCGGCGGACGGGUGAGUAACGCGUAGGAAUCUACCUAGUAGUGGGGGACAACUCGGGGAAACUCGAGCUAAUACCGCAUACGCCCUACGGGGGAAAGCGGGGGACCUUCGGGCCUCGUGCUAUUAGAUGAGCCUGCGUUGGAUUAGCUAGUUGGUGGGGUAAAGGCCUACCAAGGCGACGAUCCAUAGCUGGUCUGAGAGGAUGAUCAGCCACACCGGGACUGAGACACGGCCCGGACUCCUACGGGAGGCAGCAGUGGGGAAUAUUGCGCAAUGGGCGAAAGCCUGACGCAGCCAUGCCGCGUGUGUGAAGAAGGCCUUCGGGUUGUAAAGCACUUUCAAUUGGGAGGAAAGGUUCACGACUAAUACUCGUGAGCUGUGACGUUACCUUUAGAAGAAGCACCGGCUAACUCCGUGCCAGCAGCCGCGGUAAUACGGAGGGUGCGAGCGUUAAUCGGAAUUACUGGGCGUAAAGCGCGCGUAGGUGGUCUGUUAAGUCGGAUGUGAAAGCCCCGGGCUCAACCUGGGAACUGCAUCCGAUACUGGCAGACUAGAGUGCGGGAGAGGGAGGUAGAAUUCCACGUGUAGCGGUGAAAUGCGUAGAUAUGUGGAGGAAUACCGGUGGCGAAGGCGGCCUCCUGGCUCGACACUGACACUGAGGUGCGAAAGCGUGGGGAGCAAACANGGAUUAGAUACCCUGGUAGUCCACGCCGUAAACGAUGUCUACUAGCUGUAGGGGNACUUGAGACCU